CAGGAAUCUUUUUUCCUCCUACCUGACCUCAGACUUUUCAAAAAUUUUCACAAAGCCAUCCUAACACCAGAACAAUGCUGCCAGAUCCAAGCCACAGCAAGGAGGGUUUAGAGAUUCCAAGAUCUACUAAUGAAAUAGGGAAAAGAAAGUGAAUCUGAGAACCAUUCAAGAUAAUUUACCAUUUUUUCUUAGUGCUCCUGUCCUCCCACAUCUGUUGCUUAAUUUUUCCCACAAGAAAUAAACUGGAGCACAACCAGUAAAUUUCAAAGAAAAACAUUUAUAGCUCUCUUAUAUCUCCACCAGUCAUUUUGAAGUCUGACAUAAGAAGACCAGCUGCAAAGGAUAUGUUUACAAAUGUGAAUUUUUUGAACGAUUGAUGACCACAUGCCAAACCAUAAAUGCCGAGUAAUUAAUUAUCCAAAGUGCCUCGUGAAUCAUAAAGACAAUUCAUCUUUUCAUUUAGCUGAGCCUUACUGCAGGACGUUAUCAAAGUUGUAUAAACCACAUAAGCAAGAGGAAAAGUAUGUUCCAAUGUGGUCUUAAGUAUUAAGAUAACUAAAACCCACCAAAAUUCAAAUGCAUAUAAUUUUAUUUAACUAAACUGUAAGUUAUUUUUUUCUUUAUUAAUUAAUUCCUAAGUCAUAUAUCUACUACCAUGCCUGAAAGCACAUGCGACUUUUGGCUUCUAACACCCUUCCGUAGACACUGAGUUUUUAACAUAUAUGAAAGUUUACCUUCUCUAUCUAAUCUGGAAACACUUGUUAGAAGAAAGGUUGUGUGCCUAAGAUCCAAGCCCUGAAAUGAAGAGAACUGGGCUUCCAGCUCCACCCAGGACUUCUCUUUUGUGCAAAGGUCUCCAAGUUACCAGCUGCUUUUACAUCAAAGCUGCUAUUAAAACCUUCCUAUAUAUCAGGUCUCUUGUGAGGAUGAAGUCAUCAGUAAUAACUAGGUUACAGAUCUAAGGGUGUUGAGGGUAAUCUAAGUACAGACUACAUUUCGUACACACAAACAGGUCAAAACCUCUGUCUUGGAUUUACAGCUACAUUCCACUAGGGACAAAAAAACAUCUUUACAGACAACAGGCUAAGUUCACUGGAAGAUUUCACCAAUAUAAUUGGCAGCAGCUUCCUAGGGAGAGGAGCUGCCUGAGGGAUUGGGUACUGGGGCAAAAGGACAUUAAACACACUGUAAGCUGCAGACUGCAGACAGUGCAGGAGCAUUCCCACUGAGAGGUAAUGGAUGAUGAAGAGACACAGCCAAAUAGUCUCUGCAGAGCUCAUGAGCCCCGGCUGUGCUCAGGAAAGGAUUUCUUCCAAAAUCCUGGACCUUCCUCCCAUGGAGCAGAGCAGGAAGAGCAGAGGAGGAAGCUGCUUUGAAUGAAACUAUGUGUCCAGUGUGUUCAAAGGGGACAUGGCUGAUGCAGGAAUGUGGCCAUAGAAAAACAAGGAAUGUAGGAGAAUGGGAAAAAGUGACAAGCAGUGGCAUAUCAAAAGGAGCUGGAACAUUCAAAAGAAAUCUACCAUAAGAUCUGCAUUGGAACCAAGAACUGGAUAACUUCUGUUCUGGAGAGUCCAGCUUUCCUGCUUGCAGUGAGAAUGCUCUUCCACUGACUGCAACUGCUUCAUGUGGAUUUACAAAGAUUUGGUUCAUAUUUACAGGUCUCUGAACUGCUCAAGAGAAAGGUAUGUUAUUCAUGCUGCAUGAAGAAUGCUGUAAUGUCUAGCUUUGAAGUCUGCUCAACUGUUGGCCAGAGAGCUGAUGAGACUUACUCAAUUUCUAGAGUCCUUCUCUAAAAUCGUUGUCCUUCUGUAAAAUUGUUGCAUUUGUGUAAAUAGUAGAUAAAGUGCCAGGUAGGUGGCACUUGAAAAUAUUUACUAUAGUUCCUGUGUGUUACUAGACCAAUAAAGAUAUGUUACUGUAUGUACACUGCAAGUGCUUUUCUCUCUGGAAAUCCUCACAUCAGACUGUAACAAGACGGGUUGCAUCCUGUACUCUGUUACACUGGUGCAUGUUAGUGUUAACUCCACCUCACUUCUUUGAGUGCUGGUGGUGUGAAAGAGGUGUCAAGUGUAGCACUGCAAUGUCCCUCAGUGUGUGACUGCCUUUGGGCUCAAACACAUUUCCCUUAACCUUCACGCAGACCAAUGUUGUGAAUACUGUCUUGCAGUGGAAGCACAUUUUCUGUAACACUGACUUUCUGGAAUUGUAUUUUUGUAAGAUUUAACUGCAUACAAAACAACUGUUACGACAGUCUUCUUUGAUCUUUGCACAGACUUCCAUGCUUAUCUUAUUUUACCGCACUUUGAAGUAAUUGUAAACAAUGGUAUGGAAAUAUAGAACGAAAUCUCUCUAGAGAAGGAUGGGGAAAUUACUGCAGUAGAAGAACCAUAGAAUACAUAGCUACAAGGGACUAUAAGAGGUUGCACACUGUAAGCAUUUGAUUUAGCAUGGAUUUGGGAAGAUUACUGCAGUAUAAUAAUGUCAAAUCAAUUUAGAAUCAUUCUUUGCAGCAGUAUAGUGUUUAAAAGGAAAGAGUCUUGUUUCUGAAUGUCUGACCAAAUGAAGUUGAACAUUCUCUUUUUCAAGAUAGGUUUCAACAUGUGGACUCUGCAUUUAUUCCAACUCCUUGUAUUCCAUGACAGUGUAACUUCUGAGAGUUAUUGUACUUAUAGUUGGUGAUUUCUUUUCAGAAAUUCAAGAGGGAGCAGAAUCAAACCUGGCAUACCACAAAAUUUUAUGUAGUGGUUUUGUAAAAUGAGAAACAAUAUUGCUUGAAGUAGAAGGGGAAAAUGGUUCUCUGGUGGGCUUUUCUACAGCAGCAAGGGAAAACUAGCAACAUGGUGGAAAGUAAUUUUAUAUUUUGACCUCUCAAAUUUUCACUAAAGCACUUUCAUGUUCUAUGAGAACUGUGCCAUAACUCCUGUGCCAAUUAUUUUAAUUCUUUAAUCUCUUUCUAUUACUGUGUCAAAUCUGAGUUUCUUAAUCCCUUUCCUUACUGGAAGGGGAAAAAUCUGUCCUCCACAUAAAAAGAUAUAUGUGAUAUUAACAGGCUGAAGAGACAACCUGUGAACUUGUUUGUGUUUUAUCAAGAAAUGAAUCAUAAAAGUGAGAAACUGGCUCUGAGAGUUAAGGGAAAAGAAGAAGAUGUGGCAUGGGGCUGAUUUCACAUGCACUGGUAUAGACCGUAAGUAACUCUGAUGAAGAGGCAGUGGCACAGGGGCCAGUGACACCACGAGCACUGCCCAUCAGGAUGUCUCAUCUAUCUGUACAGUAGAGGUACAUGAGGGUAAUUUUUUGUUUAUUGUCACUGUAGAUAUGCUGCUUUUCCUACGCUACUUAGUCAUCCAGUAAAGAUCUUACAAGGUAGCUGGAAAACUAGAGAAACAAGCAAAAGCUUAGCUAUUAAAGCAUAUAUACUAUUUGUGAGGAUCUGCAGACUUCUUAGCCCUUUUCUGGGUUUUCCAAAAUGCUUCCUUAUAUACUCAGGAACCACCGC